rfam:Rattus norvegicus chromosome 1, whole genome shotgun sequence.
GGGGAUUUAGCUCAGCGGUAGAGCGCUUGCCUAGCAAGCGCAGGCCCUGGGUUCGGCCCCCAGCUCCA